GUCCCAGCCUUAUUUGGUCAAGAGUUGAAAGUAUAAUCCCUACUCCUAAUGGCUUUGUGAACAUGUCAUUAGUCUCUAGCCAAAUGGGUAAGACAACAGAAUGAUGUAUUAGAUGACCAUGUUAUAAUCUUAAAGGAAAAUAAAAAAAUAGAAAGAUUGUUAGGUUAUUCUACUUCACUCUAAUGUAAACAGGAAGAUAGUCUCUAAAAGAUACUAAGGCACAACACUCACUCAAUAUCAGCUCUAGCUGCUUCAGUCUCAUCUCACAUGACUUAACACUUUAAAUUGUGAAUGUUAGUCAUGUCCCAAUGUUGUUCUCCCUGUGUUCCACUCCCUGCUUGUAAUUCAACUUUUAUUGGUUUAGAUUGCAAUAUUGCUGCAAUGGUCUUGCAGCAAUAUAACUGUAGAUGCAAGAAAAGAUAACUGUAGAUGUCCUUCCUGGCUUCUGGAGAAGUAGCUACUAUUAGUUUUAAUUAUGAUUGUCCUUGUAAAAUAAAAGCUUUUACGGUUACUGUCAAUUAAAUCAUCAAUAGUUCAUGGACCUCCGAAAAGAGAAGUUCUUUUUUAUCGCUAUUUUGUUUUAAGCUAUAGGGUUAAAAAUGUUUUCAAAGAAUAAUUUGUGGUUCUGCUAAUAUAUGUAAAAUGUUUGCAAACUUGUGUCACAUUUACAGAAUGAAGCUAUCCUUCACUUUGUUGCAUUUUACUAGCCAAUGUUUCCCCAUUUAUCCCCAUCCCCUCAAGCACCGCCUUCUGUGCCUUUGGACAAUAAAAGUUAGUCUGAAAAGUAUUUCAGGGCAUAUAUGCUGCAUGCUAUGAUACACAAUUUUUUCCUUAUUUUACCCAUCCAUCAGCAGAGGCUAAGCAAUCAGGCUACCUAUUUCACAUCAUUAAGUAUUAAAAAGUGUUAUCAUCCUCAUGUCAUAAAUUAUUUUCCUAAUUUUGGUAGUUUGUGAAUGCAACUUAUGGAGUUGUAUGUUGAGAUGACAUCAUAUUGCUUCAUUGAUUGGGUGGAUCUCCUUUUGUUGAAGGAUACCCCACUCAUUUUUGAUAACUUGUGUAACGUCUGAAUUCUGAUGUGCAACUUCUCUUUCUUAUAGCAUGGUUUUACUGGUGGUCUUUGGGAUAUAUGAAUUUUAUUACAUUUAAAUGCGAUUUCUUCAAACAAAAUGAGCUAUUGCUAUAUGAAAAUUAAAGUUUUUUAUUUAUUAUUUAAUAACGGGUGGCAGUAAGUCUCAUGCCCAAAACGUCUCCAUGCAGUGAUACUAUGUUGAAGUGUUGGCCAUAUCAUCAAAAAUCUUAAAUUGUUGUGGAGAGUACAUUAAUAUAUAUUUAUUAUGUCUUUUGACAGUUAUGUUGUCUUGCUCAGGUAGUGAUAAAAGUUAAAAUAAGUUGUUGCGGCCCUAGGCAUGAGUGCUUGGGAAGAGACACUCAGAAGAUCUCUUUCCAGUAAAAUUAGGGUGCUAAAAGUGGAGUGAUCUCAUCCUCAAUUAAAGUGGAGUGAUACAUUUGUUUUGUUCUCUUGUUGAUGUAAAGAUAAUUAAUUCACUCAAUCGUUGCAACCCCUAGGCAUAGGGAUCUGGGCCAGAGUCUGAAAUCUUUUUCCUAACCUUGUAUCAAAUGGAAGAAGGGUUGCAGAGAUUCAUGUGUGGCUCGAAGACCAGUUUGUUGUGCUGCUUAAGAGGAGAAGAAACAAUGCAAUUCAAUAUUCUUCUUCAUCUUUAUUAUUGUGAUGCACGCAAGCUGGUCUGGACACAACUAUUA